AUUGAACGCUGGCGGCAGGCCUAACACAUGCAAGUCGAGCGAGCGGCGGACGGGUGAGUAAUGUCUGGGAAACUGCCUGAUGGAGGGGGAUAACUACUGGAAACGGUAGCUAAUACCGCAUACCAUCAGAUGUGCCCAGAUGGGAUUAGCUAGUAGGUGGGGUAACGGCUCACCUAGGCGACGAUCCCUAGCUGGUCUGAGAGGAUGACCAGCCACACUGGAAAUCGAAAACGGGCCAGACUCAUACGGUAGGCAGCAGUGGGGAAUAUUGCACAAUGGGCGCAAGCCUGAUGCAGCCAUGCGGCGUGUGUGAAGAAGGCCUUCGGGUUGUAAAGCACUUGCAGCGGGGAGGCGUUACCCGCAGAAGAAGCACCGGCUAACUCCGUGCCAGCCGCCGCGGUAAUUC
rnacentral:rRNA from 1 species